AACGAACGCUGGCGGCGUGCCUAACACAUGCAAGUCGAACGAGAAGCUGUAGCAAUACAGUUGUAAAGUGGCAAACGGGUGAGUAACACGUGGGUGACCUGCCCUCAGCUCUGGGAUAAGCCUGGGAAACCGGGUCUAAUACUGGAUAUGACUCCAUGACGCAUGUUGUGGGGUGGAAAGCCUUGUGCGGCUGAGGAUGGGCCCGCGGCCUAGCAGCUUGUUGGUGGGGUGAUGGCCUACCAAGGCGACGACGGGUAGCCGGCCUGAGAGGGCGACCGGCCACACUGGGACUGAGACACGGCCCAGACUCCUACGGAGGCAGCAGUGGGGAAUCUUGCGCAAUGGGCGAAAGCCUGACGC
rnacentral:rRNA from 1 species